GAUGAAGAACGCAGCGAAAUGCGAUAAGUAAUGUGAAUUGCAGAAUUCAGUGAAUCAUCGAAUCUUUGAACGCACCUUGCGCCCUUUGGCUAUUCCGAAGGGCAUGCCUGUUUGAGUAUCAUGAACACCUCAACUCUCAUGGUUCGCCAUGAUGAGCUUGGACUCUGGGGGUCUUGCUGGCCUAUGGUCAGCUCCUCUCAAAUAAAUCAGCUUGCCAGUGUUUGGUGGCAUCACAGGUGUGAUAACUAUCUACGCUUGUGGUUUUCCAUCAGGUAACCUUCAGUGAUGGAGGUUCGCUGGAGCUCAUAAAUGUCCCUCCUCAGCGAGGACAGCUUUUUGAACGUUUGAUCUCAAAUCAGGUAGGACUACCCGCUGAACUUAAGCAUAUCAAUAGCGGAGGA
rnacentral:misc_RNA from 1 species